rnacentral:rRNA from 1 species
UGCCAGCCGCCGCGGUAAUACGGAGGGUGCAAGCGUUGUUCGGAAUUACUGGGCGUAAGGCGUGCGUAGGUGGAUAUUUAAGUCAGAUGUGAAAGCCCUGGGCUCAACCUGGGAAUUGCAUUCGGAACUGCCUCACUAGAGUCUAGCGGAGGGAUGGGGAAUUCCGGGUGUAGCGGUGAAAUGCGUAGAUAUCCGGAGGAACACCAGUGGCGAAGGCGACCCUCUGGGCCGAUACUGACGCUGAGGCGCGAAAGCGUGGGGAGCAAACGGGAUUAGAUA